ACAGUCACACAUUAGAUACCCCCUGUAGUCCAGGGUGUAAACGCUGCGGGCUUGGUGUUGGGGUCCUUUGAGGGCGCCCAGUGCCGGAGAGAAGUUGUUAAGCCUGCUGCUUGGGAGUACGUCCGCAAGGAUGAAACUUAAAGGAAUUGGCGGGGGAGCACCGCAACGGGAGGAGCGUGCGGUUCAAUUGGAUUCAACGCCGGACAACUCACCAGGAGCGACGGUUACAUGAAGGCCAGGCUGAUGACCUUGCCUGAUUUCCG
rnacentral:rRNA from 1 species